AGACCAGGUGCAGGACAGUGCUGGGGAGACCUGAUGCUUCUGAUUUAAUGAGGCUUCAUGGGUGUGGCUCCCUCCUGCCUCCUAACACAGCCACGCCAACCCAGGUUUAAAGACCCGGACUUCUGGAGUUCAGGCAGAAUGGGAUCGGCGGUGUCUCUGGAGCGCUGGGAUGCAUGUUCGAUCCCUGGCCCAGAACGGUGGGUUAAGGAUCCUGAAGCUGUGGCGUAGGUCACAACUGUGGCUCGGAUCUGAUCUGGGGAAAUCCCUCUGCCUCGGAGUGACCCAAAGAAGAGAGAAAACGGGUACUAGAAAUACCAGCUGCACCAGAAGAGGAGUUCUUACUGAGGAUCUACUUUCCUAGAAAAAUGAUCCUUUGUCACCUUAAAGAAGUGGUGUUGCCUCUGCACAUCAUGACAGGCUUUCUGAGCUGAGUCAAGCUGUGAUCACUUUCUACCCCUCGUUCGCACAGAAUCGUGGCUGGGGCAGGAGCUGGGACAGGUGAAAGGAAGCUGUUUGAAGAGAGAGGCCUCAACUCAUUUAAAAUAAUAAAAUGACUGCCUUCCUUCGGAAUCGGGCAGGACUCUGGCCUAAAGAGGUUUGGGGAUAAUGAUCUUGCCUGAAUACGUGCAGAGUUGAUGCUCCAAAAUGGCCACGGCAUCCAGUCCUGUGUCACGGCUAAACUGCACCCAACCUUGACAACCCCCGUCACGGGCAGACGGGCCUUUCCAUAAACCGUUAGCUCUGCCCCAGGCCCUGUGGCCUAAAAAGCAUCGUUUGUUCUUUAAAGUACUGACACUCGGCCAUCUUUUCUCUCUCCAAUUCCACAGUCACAGGUCGGUCUGGGGACAGGCUGUCCAUUGUUCUCUCCUUGUUCCACUGGUGGGCUCUAUCCUAUGGCAAGGUUUUUUUAAUUGACUCUCAGAUGAUUGUAAGGGUAGCUCAUGAAUCAGAACCCAGGGCUCUCCAUGUGACCGCCGGCUCUCACAGAUCUGUAUAAACUUCUAAAUAGUUUUGGAGAAAGGCAAGCGCCUGUGUGUGUGUGUGUGUGUGUGUGUGUAUGUGUGUGUGUGUGUACUAAUUCGAGCAUCCCCCCAGAGACCUUGUCUUCCCCAGACCCGCAGCAGCCUCAGGCUGUGUUUCCCAUUAAGGAUUUAUUUUCUUCUAUGAAGGGAUCUUUCUGCCCCCAAAGAGGCUCAGUUCCCACUUAGUGCCUGUUAGAAGGUCCCGGAGAUUAGAUUGAGCAGAGGGUCUCAGGAUACAAGUUUCAAUGCACAUUAUUCAUAGAGAAAAUAAGAUCAGGGCUGAGAAAAUCCAGUUUUGUGAUGGGUGAGACAGGGGCCAGCUGUCAUUCUUGCUGGAUCCUGGGCGAUUCAUUAAACCUGUGUCUUCACCCCUCCCAAGGAUAAAGGCACGUGUUCCUGCCCACUUCCGACCCGUUAGAGCCUUGCGUGGGCAAUGAGAUAAUGCUUUGGGAGUUCGUCUGCAUACCUGCCUUAAGGAUGUGAUAAUUAUUGGUGUUACCAUGGUUCAGCACCUAGCAAUGGCCCUCUGUGAGAUGGGCUUUCUCCCGGCCGACAGGUAAAUAAGAACAGAUCUGGCUUGUUCCAGACGCGCAGUCACAGCCUGUUGAUAAAUAGGGAUCCAGAAGUCACAUGCGGGCUGGCCUCAGGUAAACCGCGGCUCACACUCUAUUUUUAGUUAAUAGGGCUCUGCUGAAGUAUGUCUCCAAGUCCCAGCCUUCUCACCCGUGGUUCAUCGGGGUCACAGGCAAUAGCUGUGCAGAAUAAAGAGGCCGUCUGAGACCGGCUCAAGCAUGAGAGCAAGAGCGAGCCCCAUGUGGCAGGGCGGGGGGAGGGAGAGGGGCAAUGGCCCUACCAAUCCCAAAGUCACUGUCAUCCAACGGUCCCCCCUCCUCUACCAGCCUUCUCACCAGGAGGCCUCACGGGCUGCUCAGAGCUCACCCCACUUUCCGAUGAGCACCCCGCGCCUCCACCCCCGUGCACACUGGGUUCGAGACAGUUAUGGCAACCUCACUUCCCACCGCCAAGUGUCUCCAUUUGGUUGUUUCAUCCUUCCUGCCAGAGCCCAGCCCCUGCCUGUUGACUCUGAUACAUCUUUCACAGAAUCUCAUUUUCAUCCCUGUCACUGGAGUCCAAAUGCCAACAUACUGAUUAUUCUCGCUGUGACAAAUACAGUCUCUCUUCAGCAGUCUCUUCAGAUCUCGGUCUCCUGGGAAAACAGCUCCCUCCCCUCCGAGCCUUUUCCUAAUAUUGCCCACUCAGCUCAGCCCCAGCCCCUCUGAACCCUUCGCAACUUCAUCCCACCUACCCUUCCUAUCUGUUCUGCGAUGGCAUCUUUUCCCAGCGUCUGCUUCACCUGUCUCCCGCCUGUCUGUGUGACUCCAGGCUGCCCCUUGGUCAGCAGGACAGAGCCUUCUGCCUCCGUGGGCUGCUGCCAAGCUUAAUUUUAGCACUCUGCAAAUGACAGUAAGUCCUGCAAAGCAGAUCAAAGCAUUGGCCCCUGCAUGCUGGCCAGCAUGGCGAAUGAUUCUCCGGGACAGAGCAAACAACCUCGAAAAUUUCUUAUGAGUCAGCUGUGAGGCGCUCAGGCAAGCAAGAUCACAGGACAAGUUCACACGUUCACAUGGAAUGACCAGGAGGCUCAUUUGCCACAGAGGUCAAGCUCGUAGGCUGGCAGCCCCAUCAGCCCGGCAGAAGGACAGGCUUCCGCAGAGAUGUCUCUUGGGAGAAUGUCACACUUAGGCCAUCUCCAGACAGCCUCGCUUGGGCGAAGGUGGCCUUUGUCACGGGAAUAAAUCUGAGGUCCUUUUGAUGAAGAAGCCCAGAAUGCCAUCUUCCACCACAGGAAUGUCUUUCUCAAGCUUUUGGAUGGAAAAUAGUCAGCGGAAGGCUAUUGGUUUUGGAUGAAUGAUCCAAACUAUCAAUAAAAAAUUAUCAAAUAGAUGAUCAGCCUUAUACCUCUUUCUGUGUUAUACAGGUCUGCUCAACUCUUCAGCAAGGACAUGAUUCCUGAUCUAUAGAAUCUAGUUAUUGGCCUAUGUCUCUAUUACAAAAGCGUUGAGAAGACCUCACCUCGCCUCUUCCCGAGAGUAUUUGGGAGAGUAAUGUGUGCAUGCAGUUCUCUCUGAAUAUCUCUGGUAUCCCAGGAAUUUAAACGUUAGGGAUGUUGACAGGGGCUGACAUUUCCCAUACGAUGGUCUGGAAGGAGCUUGGUCCUGUGAAACAGACAGGCUGAUCUUGAAAUAAAGUUCACGGAGUCUGCUGAAGGGAAAAAUCUCAGAAGCCAAGUAUUAUCAGGUCACGGGAAUAACUGCAAGGCCCACCAUGAGCAGUCAAAAAAUCGGAGGGCUUGCUCUAAAGGUAAAACACAUUUCCCUUCACAAAAUGAGUAAAAUUCACAGAAUAAAA
rnacentral:lncRNA from 1 species